GACGAACGCUGGCGGCGUGCUUAACACAUGCAAGUCGAACGGUGAUCUUGAGAGCUUGCUCUUGGGUGAUCAGUGGCGAACGGGUGAGUAACACGUGAGUAACCUGCCCCUGACUCUGGAAUAACUUCGGGAAACCGAAGCUAAUACCGGAUAUGACACAGAGCCGCAUGGUUUCUGUGUGGAAAGUUUUUCGGUUGGGGAUGGACUCGCGGCCUAUCAGCUUGUUGGUGAGGUAAUGGCUCACCAAGGCGACGACGGGUAGCCGGCCUGAGAGGGCGACCGGCCACACUGGGACUGAGACACGGCCCAGACUCCUACGGGAGGCAGCAGUGGGGAAUAUUGCACAAUGGGCGAAAGCCUGAUGCAGCGACGCCGCGUGAGGGAUGAAGGCCUUCGGGUUGUAAACCUCUUUCAGUAGGGAAGAAGCGCAAGUGACGGUACCUACAGAAGAAGCACCGGCUAACUACGUGCCAGCCGCCGCAGUAACAC
rnacentral:rRNA from 1 species